UCGCUAACCUGUGGAAUUCCAAAAGGACCGAGCGUUCUGGCUAUGCUAAUUGACGCGGAAGAAGUAGAAUCUCCUACAGUAGCAGAACACGAGUCAUGUAUCCAGUAGCCUAAUGUGAUGCCCGGCAGAACGUCGGUUCUGUUGUUGAUCUCAAGGAUGGUGAACGCAAAGGCGCGGGCGAAGCGCAGCUGCCUGAAGUCCAUGCUGUAUGGAUACAGUAAUUUUAAAAAGUUAAAACUCUUGCAACAUCAUUCUCAGUGAAGUAGUAAUUCCAGGUUAUCUUCACUGUUGCUUCCUGUUACACUACAGGAUUGGUUCUUAAGCACAUUAACCAAUACUUUCACGAUUCCCCCUUUAAAG